rnacentral:rRNA from 1 species
CCUACGGGUGGCAGCAGUGAGGAAUAUUGGUCAAUGGCCGAAAGGCUGAACCAGCCAAGUAGCGUGAAGGAUGAAGGCCCUAUGGUUUGUAAACUUCUUUUAUAGGGGAAUAAAGGUAUCCACGUGUGGAUAUUUGCAUGUACCCUAUGAAUAAGCAUCGGCUAACUCCGUGCCAGCAGCCGCGGUAAUACGGAGGAUACGAGCGUUAUCCGGAUUUAUUGGGUUUAAAGGGUGCGUAGGUUGGUUUUUAAGUCAGCUGUGACAGUUUGCGGCUCAACCAUAAAAUUGCCGUUGAUACUGGAAGUCUUGAGUGUGUUUGAGGUAGGCGGAAUGCGUGGUGUAGCGGUGAAAUGCAUAGAUAUCACGCAGAACUCCGAUUGCGAAGGCAGCUUACUAAGCCAUAACUGACAUUGAUGCACGAAAGCGUGGGGAUCAAACAGGAUUAGAUACCCUGGUAGUC